AUGAAGGAUCUAGGAGUAGCUGAUGUUAUCUUAAACAUCAAGCUGUUGAGAGAUGAGAAUGGUGGGAUCACACUACUUCAGUCUCACUAUGUGGAAAAGGUCUUGAGUCGUUUUGGGUAUAGCGACUGCACGCCUUCUCCAACUCCAUAUGAUGCUAGUGUGUUGCUUCGAAAGAAUCGACAGAUUGCUAGAGAUCAACUGAGGUAUUCUCAGAUUAUUGGCUCGCUUAUGUAUUUGGCGAGUGCCACGAGGCCUGACAUCUAUUUUGCUGUGAGCAAGCUGAGUCGGUUUGUGUCAAAACCGGGAGAUGAUCAUUGGCGUGCGCUUGAGAGAGUUAUGCGCUACUUGAAGGGCACUGCGAGCUAUGGGAUUCACUACACCGGGUAUCCAAGGGUACUGGAGGGUUAUAGUGACUCGAACUGGAUAUCUGAUGCUGAUGAGAUUAAGGCCACAAGUGGUUAUGUUUUUACACUUGGUGGUGGCGCUGUUUCCUGGAAGUCUUGCAAGCAGACUGAUACGUCUCCAACUGUUUCGAAGAAACGGAAUAUCAAACGGAGUCCAAACGGAAUG
rnacentral:rRNA from 1 species